AAUGUCGGGCCGAUGCAGAUUCCGGAUGCUACUUUUGGGCCGAACAAAUUAAGAACUCCACAACAAAUCAUAUAAAGAAUAAUCAAUAAAUAGUAUUAUUUAAAACAUACUUUCUCUCUUAUACAGGCAAAAGAGAGAGAUACCCAGUACGCAACACCAUCACUGCAUAGAUCACUACUACUGGUAGUCUAACCAACCAACUAAACUGAACGAAACAAACAGACGCGACUCGCCGCAAUUCAGAUUGCAGGAUUCCAUCUCUCAAGAAGCUAGGCACCCAACGCAACGACGCCUCAGUGAGCGAGGAAGGCGAGGAGCGAGACGACGGCGGCCACGGCCCACGCCCCGGGAGCGACGGCGCCUGCUGCGCCAACCACCGCCGCCGGCGCCGGUGCCGGGGCGAGCGAGGGAGCGAGGCUGCCCAGGAAGAACUCCUCCUCCCGCUCCACAAUCCUCCCUGCCGCCGACGCAACGAGCGCCACGAGCACAACCGCGGCGAGGAGAGCAAUGGACUUGGUGGAGACGGCGGCCAUUGAGACGAGACGGUGGGAGGAUCUGGUCGCAGAGAAAGAGAAGCAAGCAAGCAAAAGAAGCAGACGGAUGCUGUGCUUGGAUUCUCAAACUCUGCGCUCCUGAACUUGGAUGGAUCGUGGGAGAUGUUUGUGUGGGGAGAAGCGGAGGUGGUUCGGGGGAUUUUAUAGCGGGCGGGGGACGAGGGGAAAUGUAGCCGUUGGGGGUCGUAGCAGGCGCCG
rnacentral:lncRNA from 1 species